CGUAGUGAACGCUGGCGGCGUGCCUAAUACAUGCAAGUCGAGCGAACCGUAGGGAGCUUGCUCCUUUGACGUUAGCGGCGGACGGGUGAGUAACACGUGGGUAACCUACCUAUAAGACUGGGAUAACUUCGGGAAACCGGAGCUAAUACCGGAUAACAUUUGGAACCGCAUGGUUCUAAAGUGAAAGAUGGUUUUGCUAUCACUUAUAGAUGGACCCGCGCCGUAUUAGCUAGUUGGUAAGGUAACGGCUUACCAAGGCGACGAUACGUAGCCGACCUGAGAGGGUGAUCGGCCACACUGGACGCGUACUGACACGGUCCAGACUCCUGAGGGCAGCAGUAGGGAAUCUUCCGCAAUGGGCGAAAGCCUGACGGAGCAACGCCGCGUGAGUGAUGAAGGGUUUCGGCUCGUAAAACUCUGUUAUUAGGGAAGAACAAACGUGUAAGUAACUGUGCACGUCUUGACGGUACCUAAUCAGAAAGCCACGGCUAACUACGUGCCAGCAGCCGCGGUAAUACGUAGGUGGCAAGCGUUAUCCGGAAUUAUUGGGCGUAAAGCGCGCGUAGGCGGUUUCUUAAGUCUGAUGUGAAAGCCCACGGCUCAACCGUGGAGGGUCAUUGGAAACUGGGAAACUUGAGUGCAGAAGAGGAAAGUGGAAUUCCAUGUGUAGCGGUGAAAUGCGCAGAGAUAUGGAGGAACACCAGUGGCGAAGGCGACUUUCUGGUCUGUAACUGACGCUGAUCGUAGAAAGCGUGGGGAUCAAACAGGAUUAGAUACCCUGGUAGUCCACGCCGUAAACGAUGAGUGCUAAGUGUUAGGGGGUUUCCGCCCCUUAGUGCUGCAGCUAACGCAUUAAGCACUCCGCCUGGGGAGUACGACCGCAAGGUUGAAACUCAAAGGAAUUGACGGGGACCCGCACAAGCGGUGGAGCAUAAUCGUUAAUUCGAAGCAACGCGAAGAACCUUACCAAAUCUUGACAUCCUUUGAAAACUCUAGAGAUAGAGCCUUCCCCUUCGGGGGACAAAGUGACAGGUGGUGCAUGGUUGUCGUCAGCUCGUGUCGUGAGAUGUUGGGUGGAGUCCCUCAACGAGCGCAACCCUUAAGCUUAGUUGCCAUCAUUAAGUUGGGCACUCUAGGUUGACUGCCGGUGACAAACCGGAGGAAGGUGGGGAUGACGUCAAAUCAUCAUGCCCCUUAUGAUUUGGGCUACACACGUGCUACAAUGGACAAUACAAAGGGCAGCUAAACCGCGAGGUCAUGCAAAUCCC
rnacentral:rRNA from 1 species